rnacentral:lncRNA from 1 species
CUUUCUCCUUACAAAGCUGCGGCACUAGAGGGAUGUAUGUAUAUGAGGGAUGUAUGACACGAAAUUGUGAUGGAAGGUGGGUUAUUUCUGAGUGCUGCGGCACAAUAUAUUUAUAGGGAGAAUAUAAGGCACGGCAUAGUUAUGUAGGAGGGGAAUUAUGACUCCAAAUCAUGAAGGAAUAAGGACUUUUCAAUUUCAGAUUCCAGGGAAGAAAAGGAUUGGUUUUGCUUCAGGAAACAUCACUUCUAGAAGGGCUAGGUACGACACAUUUUUAGGGAUAAGGGAUAAGGCUUCUAGAACCAUGUUUUUAGGUGAUCUAAUAUGCAAUUGAUUCCCCCUUGCAGCUGGAAUUAAGGUAGGAUAAGAUUAGUAUAGGAUAAGAUAAGAUAAAGUUUGUUUGGAUAAGAUAAGGUUGGAUAAGGUUUUGGAUAAUGUUCAUUCUUUUUAGCUGAAUCCUUAUCUUCUUUGUCUUAAAUUUAUUUUCUUCAUCUUUUCAGCACAUUCCUAGCCUCUUGAACUUCAAAAACGUCCAUCCACCUUGCUCCAUGCAUAUGCUAUCCAUUCUUGGGCCAAAACUGCUCCAAAAUGCUCCAAAUUGCACUUUCUUGCCAACUUUGUCAUUUGGACAUAUAAAACACAUGAAAAUAGCUUAAAUCACUAUAAUAAACAGAAACUAGCUAUGAAAAUGCAAGAAAACAAGUUAACUAAAUUACAUAAAUAUGCUCAUAUCAGAUUCCCCCACGCUUAGCUUUGGCUAGUCCUCGAACAAAACAAAAUAAACAAAAUAUAACCUAGACCUUCCAAUGUUCGCCUCAGGGAUUUCCAAUGAAACAUGACAUGUUAAAAAUCACUACUCACAUAGAUUUUGGCCAUCCUUACCCUCGAGCACACACUUAAUCGUAGUCACCACUCACUAGUUCACAUUUGAUCAAUUAAAACAAUGGUUUAAAUGUAGUAACAUGCCUUAGAGAAUUCCCUCAAUUCCUCACCAGAGAUACUCUUUAUUUUCACAUAGAUUUUCUGACUACACUUCCUAUACUAGGUAUAUGUGAGAAGAUUGAUGUAAACAUGUAGACUAGCACUCACAUAUGUCAUAAUCAAAGAAGGAACUUUCUGGAAUUAUCAAUAUAACAUGUAUAUGAUCUCAGGAACGGAAUGCCACUACUUAGAAGCAAGAACCAGGGAUUCCAUAUGCUUAUACCAAUUUCAAACUCCACGUAUUGAAACACAUAACAACCAAGAUAAAAGUCAAAGGGUUGUAAUGGGACUAAGGAUAUUGGCUAACAAAGAAAGGUUAAGGAUAAACAAAGGUCCUUAAAGCAAUAGUAAGCAAAGUAAUGAAAUUGAUACUUAGAAUUCACUUUUGAGUGCAGCAACCAACUUUAACACAAAGGGGAAAUUCAAACAAUACUUAGGGCUAGAUUCAAACUUUUGGACCCUUUCUUCACCAAUACUUGUGAGUUCAUCCUCACUUAUUUCUCAACUCUUUUCCUUUCUUUUCUCAACUUUUUUUUCUUCUUUUUUUCUCUUUUUCACGUUUUUUUUUUCUUUCUUUCUUUUACCCGUGCCCUUCCUUUCUUUUGGCACACUAACCAUACAUAUUUCUCAUGAAAAACCUUUCCCUGACACUUGGUUUUCUGCAUAAUGUCGAUAAACAGGAAUUCCCUCUAAGUCAUGCUCCACUAUACUUUAAGAACAAGGGUAUGGAUAGUCCUAUUCUAGGCUAGGUAAGGAUAAUGUGGCUAAUAAAAAUAUAGGCUAAAUAAGGCUCAAAGGGGUUAAACCUACAAUACAUAUGCAAGGGAUUAAGGUUUUUUGGCUCUGGUGGUAACUAAACAACUUCAUCUUGUUAUAUGUUAUGCACUCAAUUUUAAGCUUUGAAUGAAACAGGCAUAAGUUCUAGUAUUUGGAAUUAUAAUGAUGAAAACGCAUUCUAAGUAGCAACCAAGCAAAGAAAUAAUGAGAUCAUGCAACGACUUUAGACAACAAGAAUGUUGGAAAUGUGCCCUAAAGCCAAUCAUAUGAUGAUACUUUACGGACAUUUCACAUGUUAAACUAAUCU